CAUGUUUUCUAGACUGGACAGGAAGAGGAUCUGGAAGUGGGGGACGUUGACAUCAAUCCCUUGUUAUGGUCAGAUCACUUCCUGUUGAGAUGUAGGCUUUCAGCACCUUUCAGCUUCCAUAUGUGGCUCCUAGAAGCUAUCAGCAUGUGACAGGAACCACACCUCAGGAAUGGCUUCAUCUGACCAGCUAAACAAGGUGAGGGUAGCCUAUGGGUCUCAAAUUCUCAGUGAGUUAUGGAGUUCCCAUGCAUGUGAAGAUAGACUCCGGCAGAUUGAGCGGACAAGACCAAUAGUGGGUCCAACAGUUAAGAAGGUGGUUCCUUCACAUGCUGUAGAGGGAGGUAAGGGGCAGGUGGGGCUUGUCAACCUGGGAAGGUAGCCCAUCUGGAAGGAAAACUCUGAUCCUAAGCCUCUGCUGCCUUGUGGGACAUCUUUGGGAGAAGAAAAUCCUAAGGAGUAAAACCAACAAUAAUCCAGACUGGAGUCCCUAAAACGGAUGGAUGGUGCUUCAUUUGCCAGCAAUUUUUGCAGUCAAGCUAGUGCCAAACAUAUUGCUCUGCUUUUCUUUCAACCACAUCAGUGAGACGGGGGGGGGGGGAGGUCUGGUCUGGCAGCCCAGGAUCUCCGUACACAUUGCUUAGAUUUGCUCCCCAGGGAGGUCACUUCAGUGCUGCUUACCCAGCAGUUUGACUUCACCCUCCACUCCAUUGUCUCUCGAGACAGACAGAUGCCAACAAUCCAAUGUGGCACAAAUCAGAAUGUUUUUAAUGUUUGGUAUAACGCACAGUACACUGUUGACACCCAAUAUAUAUUAUCUUAAUUAUAACACAUGUGUACUCCAUUAUUCUAUGUGGACCAGCUGGAAAAAAUUUGCCUUCAUUUUCAUGACUUAAAGGAAGCAAUACAAUAAAAGAGGGAGAGUGGAGGCAUGUUAUCUUUCUCUUAGAUAUUUGUAGGGGAUUAAAAUGCACAACUGCUGAAAUUUUAGAACAUACGGCCUGCAUGGAUUAUCCUAGUAAUCCAGCCUGCUUGGAAACUAAUACACAGAAUAAAUCUAGAGAAGUAAUCAGAAAAGGAACAAUGGCCUUGCAUGCCUCUUUAUUUAUCAUUCAUGAUAAGCCAAUCAGUGGAAUUUGCUUUUAUUUAAGUAACUGCAUUCCUCAACAUAAUCUGUAUUAAUAAACCUUGGAAGCACCAUAGCUCAGUGGAAGAGUACUUGCAUUCUGUGUGGAAGAUCCCAAGUUCAACUGACUCCUGUCUGAAUCCCUGAAUAUCUCCCACCAGUUAAGUGUAAAUGACUGGAUAGACCAGUGGUCUGACUUGGUAUAUGGCUGCCUCAGAAUGAAGGGAACUUUUUAAAAGUAUGGUAAUGAAGAUAUUCCCCUUCAUGGAUCACUGCCUUGCCGUGGUGAAGUGGCUUGAAUAACUCAGCGAAGCUAUGAACUAUGCCGAGCAGGGCACCCAAGAUGAACAGGUCAUAGUGGAGAGUUUUGACCAAACGUGAUCCACCUGGAGGAGGAACCGGCAAGCCACUCCAGUAUCCCUGCCCAAAAAACUCCAUGGACAGCAAUGACAAACCUAGACAGCGUCUUAAAAAGUAGAGACAUCACCUUGCCAACAAAGGUCCGUAUAGUAAAAGCUAUGGUUUUCCCAGUAGUGAUGUAUGGAAGUGAGAGCUGGACCAUAAAGAAGGCUGGAUCACCGAAGAAUCGAUGCUUUUGAAUUAUGGUGCUGGAGGAGACUCCAUGGACUGCAAGAAGAUCAAACGUAUCCAUUCUUCAGGAAAUCAGCCCUGAGUGCUCACUGGAAGGACAGAUCCUGAAGCUGAGGCUCCAAUACUUUGGCCACCUCAUGAGAAGAGAAGACUCCCUGGAAAAGACCCUGAUGUUGGGAAAGAUGGAGGGCACAAGGAGAAGGGGACGACAGAGGACGAGAUGGUUGGAUAGUGUUCUCGAAGCUACCAGCAUGAGUUUAACUAAACUGCGGGAGGCAGUGGAAGACAGAAGUGCCUGGCGUGCUCUGGUCCAUUGGGUCACGAAGAGUCGGACACGACUAAAUGACUAAACAACAACAACAACAAUGAAGAUAUUGCCUUGGGGACAUCUUUAACUGUAGCCAUAAUAGAGCAAACAGUGGCUUCCUCUGAAGCAGCUAGAAGAGUAUCCUACAUCUGGAAAACGACAUAUAGUCAUCCAGUAAUUCUAAGUUAGAGAAUUGUGUGUUUUAAUUUGGCUACUGGUUUAGAAUUUGGAUAUUUUGAUUCUCUGGUAAUGGAGACUUUAGCAUGCCAUCAAGUCCUGCUCAUAGCCCAAUACCAUUGGUUGCAAAUAAAAAUGCUCCCAUAGUGAUGUCUCUACAUCACAAUAGUAACAUAUUCAUAGGUAACUGUGCAGAUUAACUGCUAUGUUGCAUCUCUGUCAGGAGUGCUGACAUGCAAUGAGACUACUUUGUGCUUCUGUAUGUUACCAUUACAACCUGGAGUUUUCAAAAUCAUGUUUCAGUGUGAUGAAGGUACGAAUCAGUGACAUAUUAUUAUAUUUGGACAUUUGAAUAUCAUUAACAUUUAUUUCAUGGAAAUGGAGUGAUAUGUGUUUGAGUAUCAUUGGUUUCCUUAUCUCAGGCCAGCCGGUGAUAGGAAUGAUUGGAAUUUUCAUCCUGUGUUGUGCUCCUGUUUUAUUAUUUCAUUUGUUUUGCAAUAUUUCCCUCUUUUUAAUCUUUCUUAAGCCACUCUAAGAAUGCUGAUCGACCAUUGAAGGGCAGGAUUUAAAUGUUAGAAAUAAAUAAAUAAAUAAGUGCAAAAUGUUGAAUUCCGUCAAUUUGCAAAUUAGCUCGUUUGCUUAAGGCAUCCUUAUUGUGUGACUUUUAAAUAGCAGAGUUUCCCCCCCCAACGAAACAUGAGAUAAUAUGUCACAUCAGCUAUUAUUGUCUAGUCUCGUUCACUCCCUGCACACAGUAGCAGCAUUUAGGAAUUAUGGUAGGAGGUAGCUGCUUGCAGUCUCCAUACCAGUCAGAGCAUUUAUGUGCAAUAGAAAAUGCCAAAUGGUGUGGCAAUAACAUGCCUAAUGCCGUUAGCUUUAGCGAGCCAGUGAAGCUGCAGUGUUAUCUGCUGGCGUGUUCUCAAUGCAGCCAACUAUUUCUAUCUGCCUGAAUGCUUCUCCAAUAAUGCCCAUGGGUACUGAUGGAGAUGAGCAAUUAAGAUUGACAGAUGGUCCAAAGAGAUGUCAUCCGGUGCAUCAUUUUCCUGCUAGCAAACAUCCUGGUUCAUCUUUCAUGAGAUGUUUUUAAGAUGGACUGGGAAAUGACUUCUAGGGCAAGAUCCUAAUGUGUACUGAGUAGACCCGCUGAUUCCAUCAGCUAGAAAGAAAGCCUGGGAUUUUCAUGUGCUGAAUAAUAACCUACAUAUGGCCCUUGCCUCUGUAAUGAUGGCAACCAACUUGGAUGACUGGAGGAUUGGACAAAUUCAUGGAGGAUGUCAAAGGCUACUAGCCAUGAUGACUGUGCUCUGCCUCUAUGGUCAGAGGCAGUAAUGCUUCUGAGUACCAGUUGCUGGAAGCUACUGGAGGAUAGAGGGUCCUGUGCUCACGUCAUGCUUGCCAGUUUGCCACAAGCUUUCAGUUGGUCAUUGAGAGAAUAGCAUGCUGGACUAGAUGAGUCACUGGCCUGAUCAAGCAGGUUCUUCUUAAAUCAAUAUGUAGGUAAUUUUCUGCAGCUAUUGCUAUCUUGAUAUCGAGAACAAGAGAUUCAAAAUAUGUAUGGUAACAUCUUUAACCACACCAAAAUUUGUUAGUGUAGGACAGAGCUUUCCAAACUUUUCAUGCUGGUGACACAUUUUUUAGACAUGCAUCAUUUUGUGAUACAAUAAUUCAGUUUUACUAGUAAACCAGUGGUUAAACUAACUUCUUUCCAGCCCUGGUGGGAGCAUGGGGAGCAUUCACACAACACAUCUACACACUGCAACCAACACACUAACUUGUCGCAACACACAGUUUGGAAAGCUCUGAUGUAGGAGGUUAAACUUCAUGCAGCAUAUCCAUGAUGGCUUCUUCUGACUUCUUUUUUCUUUCUUUUUUAACUGAAUGAUUGAAAUGCAGCAACGGACAUUUGCCUUUUUCAUUUUCCUCAGAUCAGUAUCAGCAGAAAAGGGGCUCCCAGCUGGACAAUUUUCAGUUCCCAAAUAUCCCAGCCCAGUGGCUAUAUGCUUUGUGGGGGCAGGGGAAAGUUAGCUCUCAAGCAUCUGCAGCUCAUUUGCCUUUUGCAGAUCAGUUCCCUAUUAACUAUGUGCCUAGCAAAAUCCAAGUUCUUUCCUUUCAUGAAUUCUAUAUGAUUGCCAGACCAGGCCAUUUUCGCAAGUUGAAGAGAAAUGGGGUGGUGGUGAGGAAUGGCUAGGCAACAAGUGCGGGGGAGAAGAGAGAGGAACUUAUUGGUAGAAAGAAGUAUCCUUAUUAUGUUUUGAAGUUAGAUUCUUCUUCACUCUUAGGAACCACAGUGUAUUGGACUUCUUGGCUUGCCAUACCAGGAACUGGCCUAGUCAGCUGUCACACACCAUGUUUUUAGUUUCAGUUUUGCAUUGCAAGCAGCAACCUGCUGCAUAGCUUUCCCCUUCAUAAAUGGUUUAGCAUUAAAGUUGUGUUUCAUGGUGUAUCCACUACACAUUUAAAGCACAUCUGCCCGUAAGGAUCCUGGGAACUGUGGUUAACAACAACAAUAACAACAACAAUAUUUCUAUGUCAGCCAUCUGACUCUGGGUAGCUGCCAACAAAAUAUGAAAACACAACAAACUUCAAACAUUAAAAACCUUCCUGUACAGGGCUGCCUUUGGAUGUCUUUUAAAAGUCAUAUAGAUGUUUAUUUCCUUGACAUCUGAUGGAAGUGUGUUCUACAAGGCGGGUGUGACAACCAAGAAGGCUUUCUGCCUGGUUCCCUGGCAGCUGCAGUUCUCAGCACUCUUAACACGCUACAGUUCUCAGGAUGCUUUGCAUUCUCUCUCUCUCCUCACCCUCUCUCCCCACUCCCUUUCUCUUUCUCUCUGUGCAUGCACUUCAAAUGUAUUGGUUAUACAGUACACCCUGUCUGUAGCCUGUUUCCCACCACCCCAAUCUCCAAGCAGUGCAAGAUUCCAGGAGUUCAAGGCACUUACCCAGGCUCUGUGUUUUCUUUUGGAAUGAGGCAUAGUGGAGACUAUGCUGUCUUUAUGAUACAUGGUUUAUUUACACAUAUAUACAACCUGUGCCUAUGAUGGAGGAGUCACAGCAUUAACCUCCCAAGAAGGUCUUGCUUCUUCCAUAGCUGCAGCCUUGGAUUCAAACAGAAAUCAAGCAUUGUUCUCUCCUUCUCUCCAGCUUGCUGCUUUGCUUCUACAGUCAUACCUCGUGUUGUGUCUGCUUCAGGUUACAUCUUUUCAAGUUGCGUCCCGUGGCAACCCAGAAGUACCAUAAUAGUUACUUGCGUGCUGAGGUCCCCAAAACACCCCUACCCCAAUAACUCACACAUCGCAAAUAAUUUUUGUUUAAGGUUUUUGGCAUGAUUUUGGCCACAACUUUAUUAAAAUACAAAUUGUGAGUGGUUGCUUAGGCAUUGGUUAUGACUAGCUGUCCCCCCCACCUUGGGGACAGCACUGACUCCCGGAUUCCAGCGAGAGCCAGUGUGGAGGAACAAGAUCAGGGAUAACUGGAGCUGCGACACAGACCCUCAGCUUCUCCCCGCAUGCUCCCAGGAGCUUACGCGGCCCAAACCCGAUUCCAGGGGUUUGGACGAGAGGAUGGUAAGCCCCUGAAUUCCUUUAAUGGAAUUCCCGUGCAGCAGCAGCAUUGGAGGGGCAGGCACAGCCAAUCCAUACCCCUCCACCACCCAAUUUAAACCAAUGCCUAACCGCCAACCUUACAAGUUGUGAUGAUUUGCUACGCAGUAGACAAAAACCAAUUGGCACACACUAAUCAGCCAAAAGGAAAAAUUCCUACCAGGCCCCCGCACCAAUGCGGAUGACCCCAUGACAGGCAUAGCAAGGUCAAAGCACAAGCCCAAUCAAGGGAGGGCGGGCGGGUGAUCCGGUGCCCACAGCGAAAAAGAAAGGAACAUGCUGUGAGCCUUGUUUAAAUAACCUCUGUUCCCACCCCUAAAUUGGCAACAUCAAAUUUACCCCAGUAACACCAACCACCAAUCCGAUCCAAGCCCCAUCAAUCUAUCCUGCCUGGCAACUAUGGGGUGCUUUGCUCGGCCCCAUCUGCAACACGUGCUCUCCUUUAAUGAGAACACGCUUUCUGGGUUUCGCCACUCGCGCAUGCGCAGAAGUGCUAAAUUGCGCCACAUGUGUACGCAGACGCAGUGCUUCUGGAUGUGAAUGCUUCGAGUUGCGGACGUACCUCCAGGAUACGUCCGCAACUCGAGGUUCCACUGUAGUUCACAUCACUGUCCUCUCUGCUCUCAACUCUGGUUUUGACUUUCUAACUUCCCACGAGUUGGGGGAGGGGGUCUCGCCCAUUUGCCAUCUUACACAGAGCUCCUUCUUUGGUCCCCUGAAUUACCCAUCACCUUACCAGGAAGCAAUUUUGGCUAUUCCUGGAAUUAGAAGCGAGGCCUAGGCCUCAGCAUACAGCCUAUUCCCUGCCAAACUCAUAACACUACUUUUCAGGAACAACAAACAUGAGUCGUUGGCUUCCAACUCUAUUGCAAAACACCUUUGCCAGCUUAUACGCUUUACAAAGUACACUAGACUUUCAGGUAGCUUUCACAUACAAAGAGGCAAAGUGUUUCUUUCUACAGCUGAUUGUUAAGGGACCAGCUACUAUCUCCAUUGUGCAUGACACCAUGCUCAACAAAGAAGAGAUUUUUGUCCACCAUUAUGGCCACUACUUGUUUAUGAGUGAAUAAACAUAUACGUACAUUCACACAGCAGAGAACAAAUUGUUAUUAUGGAGCAGCAUUGCCCUUGAGUGAAAUGCUAACAAUGAUACAUGACCAGUGCCGUGAUUGGCUCUUGCAUCCAUCCUUUGGUGCAUUUAAGAGGACACAUCUGUAGACCAGCACUGUUGAUGUAGCUAUUUUUAUAUGUUUGUAUGUUGUUAUGCAGCUGUUAUCAUACCCUUAAAUAGAAAUAGCCAGAUAAAAAGCUGAAUGCUAGAGGCAUUUAAUGUGAAACAAAGGCACAAGGACGUAUUAAUGCUGAUUGCUGUAGCAAAUUACCAUCAAUUGUAUUUAUUCUCAUGCAUUUAUUUCGAUUUUCAUUUGUGAACACAUUCUAACAAUAAUGUUUAGGAUAGUAUUGCCACCUACUGGCUAUAUUUUAUAAGGCAAAGAUAUCAAUAGCAUGUUGCUUGUGAUCAAAUUGUUCAGAAUUCUUGGCUGAAAAUUGUGCAAGGGAUUUCAAAGCAUACCUAAGAUGCAUGAUUGCAGAUGGCAAAGGACGACAAAUAGAGUGGUUAAGUGUGCUUGGGGUGGCUUCUGCCAAAUCUCUCAUUUUCCAGAGAUUGAUCCCAAAGAUUGGUUUUCCAAAGCUUGGUCCCCCAAAAAGCAAAAAGUCGUGACAUGUACUCUGCAAAUGAAGCAUGCACAAACUGGCCUGGUUCACACAUCACAUUAUUAAAUCAUAGAUAAGAUAAACUCCUCUAUCGUCAUGCUACUAAGAAAAAAAACUAUGGUCUGGUUUGUCAUGUUGUACAGACCCAGUUUCAAAGUAUGUUUCUCUACAAGCAACCAGGGUUUGUUGUUCACUUUGUAUUCAUGGUUUGUUUGGAGUUCAGAUGACUUGACUAUGGCUUUGUUUCCCAGCAAUCUGGCAGGAGUGAAUGAGGGGCAACACCCCCUCCCCAAAAAAAUUUAUUUAAGCAGCAGUGAAUUUUACUGUGGAAUAAUAAGAUAUUAAAAACCAGGUCAGUAAACAUAGUGUUUAUAGGUAACAUCUUCAGGAGGGACAAAUUGCUGUAUUUUCUGCAUUGUAUAUUGGGUGAUCCUAGAAGACUUCAGAAACUGCAGCAGGUACAGGUUGGAGUAGGUUACUAGGUGAAGACUGAAUGAGGGACCUGAAGACAUCUCAAAAGGGAUAUCUGUUUUUCCAGUGCUUUUGAAGAGCUGAUGUAGAGAGGUGCUUCAUUUUAAUUCUUAAAAUCUUAUCCAUUUUGCAUGCCAAGCUAUCUGCUGCAACACAACUGACAGGGAACUAAAAAUUGAAGGAAGGCAAGCACUGGGACGAGAGCUCCCCACUCUCAGAAGCCAAGCCAGUCAGGUUUGGAAGCAUGCAGGCUGUGUAGUAACUAUCCAGGAUUUUGAUCUCUGUGCUUUUCCCACUCUGUUCAUUUUUUUCGCUGACAUCUACCUUUACACCCAUAGUUUCAGGGAGAUGAAUCACCUGACACCAGGCUGACUGAAACCUCAAAUGACAAGCUGAAGUGGGAGGUCAGGAGGGAAAAAAUGCUGCUUGUCUGAAGUGUCUGUGAGGCAUUUCUGAGAAGUGGGAGCUGAUCUGCAUAGUGAUUCCUCCCCUACAGCCACUACACGCCAUGGGAAGACACUUCAUGGACAGUCACAUUUAAGCAGAGGCUUCUAUUCAGCAAGCAGAACAAAGGAAGAGAGAAGGGCCCCUGCCACAAAGCCUGUAGCGUCACUGAUAAAGCACUUCAUGAAUGCUGUAUUCAAGUAUCUUACAUUCACGCAGCUCAG